rnacentral:rRNA from 1 species
UCUGGUUGAUCCUGCCAGUAGUUAUAUGAUUGUCUCAAAGAUUAAGCCCUGCAUGUCUAAGUACACACGAAUUAAAAGUGAAACCGCAAAAGGCUCAUUAUAUUAGUUAUGGUUCCUUAGAUCGUUAACAGUUACUUGGGUAACUGUGGUAAUUCUAGAGCUAAUACAUGCAAUUAAAACAUGAACCUUAUGGGACAUGUGCUUUUAUUAGGCUAAAACCAAGCGAUCGCAAGAUCGUUAUAUUGGUUGAACUCUAGAUAACAUGCAGAUCGUAUGGUCUUGUACCGACGACAGAUCUUUCAAAUGUCUGCCCUAUCUACUUUGGAUGGUAGUAUCUAGGACUACCAUGGUUGCAACGGGUAACGGAGAAUCAGGGUUCGUUUCCGGAGAGGGAGCCUGAGAAACGGCUACCACAUCCAAGGAAGGCAGCAGGCGCGUAAAUUACCCACUCCCAAAAAUAACAAAACAGGACUCAUAUCCGAAGCCCUGUAAUUGGAAUGAGUACAUUUUAAAUCCUUUAACAAGGACCAAUUGGAGGGCAAGUCUGGUGCCAGCAGCCGCGGUAAUUCCAGCUCCAAUAGCGUAUAUUAAAGUUGUUGCGGUUAAAACGUUCGUAGUUGAACUUGUGCUUCAUACGGGGAGUACAACUUACAAUUGUGGUUAGUACUAUACCUUUAUAUAUUUAAGCGUAUUACCGGUGGAGUUCUUAUAUGUGAUUAAAUACUUGAAUUUUUUCAUAUGUUCCUCCUAUUUAAAAACCUGCAUUAGUGCUCUUAAACGAGUGUUAUUGUGGGCCUGUACUAUUACUUUGAACAAAUUAGAGUGAAAUAAGACCUCUGUUCUGCUUUCAUUGGUUUUCAGAUCAAGAGGUAAUGAUUAAUAGAAGCAGUUUGGGGGCAUUAGUAUUACGACGCGAGAGGUGAAAUUCUUGGACCGUCGUAAGACUAACUUAAGCGAAAGCAUUUGCCCAAGAUGUUUUCAUUAAUCAAGAACGAAAGUUAGAGGUUCGAAGGCGAUUAGAUACCGCCCUAGUUCUAACCAUAAACGAUGCCAGCUAGAAAUUGGGUGUAGCUACUAUCAUGGCUCUCUCAGUCGCUCAGUCUCAGGCCUACAACAGAGCCUGUAAGCAGCUCAAACAGAUGCUUCAUGACUCGAGAAGCAAGGCGCUCGAGGAGUACCUAGUAGAACUGGAGCCUGGCAAUGCUGAGCACAACAUCUGGAACUCCACCAAAUACCUGAAAAGGCCUGUGCGGAGGGUGCCACCUGUUAAAACAGCUGCAGGUGUAUGGUGCCGGUCAAGCCAAGAGAAAGCGGAUGCGUUUGCCGACCAUCUGGAAACCAGUUUCCAGCCAUUCGCCCUAUGUGAUGACGAAGACGUUGAAGAGACGAAGCAGUUCGAUGACGCAGCCUGCCCGAUGGCCCUGCCUAUCGCAGAGAUAGGUAGUCAGGAGAUUCUGGAUGAGAUUUCGUGCUUGAAGCUCACCAAAUCUCCUGGCCUUGACAAAUUCGACGCAGCUGCCCUCAAGCUACUCCCAGCGAAUUGCAUAGAGUUUCUAA